rnacentral:tRNA from 2 species
GCUGGUGUAGCUCAGCUGGUAGAGCAGCUCACUCGUAAUGAGCAGGUCUGGGGUUCGAGUCCCCACACCAGCUCCA